AGCAGAUCCUCUGCUCAGAGAGCUGCCAGCUCCAAUCAUGGCCCCUACAGCGGCUGCAGCGCUGACUGCAUCUCCACAGCGUCUGGCUGUCAGCAAGCAGCUCAGAAAGCCUCCAGUGGAGAAGUUCAGCAGAGAACCAGCAGCAGCAUGAGAAGCUCACGCCUCCUCUGGGUCCAGAGAUCCUAAAACAGCAGAUGGACCUCCAGAUGGAGAACGCAGACUCCAGGAGAGAGCGCUUAUACGCUUGCUACAGCAGCAGCUGUGGAUAAGGGCUACUUCAGGUAGAUCCAGGAGGUGCUGCACUUCCUGUCCACGGAGGAGCUGAAGACACGCCCCCAGAGGAUCCUCUUCAUCAAGCUGCAGUCUUCCUCUGAGAAGACGCUGAGAGGCUGAAGUCUCUCCUCUGAGUUCCACAGUCCAGAGCAGCAUCAGCAAAGACAGAAGUGCGCUCAGCGGCGCCCUCUGGAGGCUGUGGAGGACACCUGCAGGCUCCUGAAGGAUCAACGGAGAAGAAGAUUUUGGUCAAAGAAGACUGAAGUGAAUAUGGACUUGAUCUUCUGUAAGAACAGAAGGAUUCAAAGAAGAUAACAUCUGGUUUUCAGGUGAAGAAGCUGCAAAGAUCAUGUUGGUCAAACAUUUCUGGAUUCUGUCACAUUGAUGGAGUUCUUGUCUGUGUGCUGAAUGUUCCGGCGGUGCAAACAUUUCCUGAGGAAAGAUGCAGAAAUCUUCUUUUAUUUUCACAUUUCCACAGAAGCUGAAUUGUUGUUGAUGCAUAAAGACUGUUAGAAGUGAAGGAACAUCUGAAAGUUCAUGAUUGAACUCCAUGAACAUUAUUUCAUCCUUCACUUUGAUCAUGUUGAUCAGAUAUGGCAUCUCUAAUCAAUGGAGAUGUUUUUAUGAACUGUUGUCAGUUUCUGAUCAUUCUGUGAUCAUCUGAAUUCAGAUCGGUGUGUUUUAUACAUGUUUUCAUCGUUUUUGAAAAAAAAAA